rnacentral:rRNA from 1 species
AUUGAACGCUGGCGGCAGGCUUAACACAUGCAAGUCGAGCGGGGGAAGGUAGCUUGCUACUGGACCUAGCGGCGGACGGGUGAGUAAUGCUUAGGAAUCUGCCUAUUAGUGGGGGACAACAUCUCGAAAGGGAUGCUAAUACCGCAUACGUCCUACGGGAGAAAGCAGGGGAUCUUCGGACCUUGCGCUAAUAGAUGAGCCUAAGUCGGAUUAGCUAGUUGGUGGGGUAAAGGCCUACCAAGGCGACGAUCUGUAGCGGGUCUGAGAGGAUGAUCCGCCACACUGGGACUGGGACGCGGCCCAGACUCCUACGGGAGGUAGCAGUGGGGAAUAUUGGACAAUGGGGGGAACCCUGAUCCAGCCAUGCCGCGUGUGCGAAGAAGGCCUUAUGGUUGUAAAGCACUUUAAGCGAGGAGGAGGCUACUUUAGUUAAUACCUAGAGAUAGUGGACGUUACUCGCAGAAUAAGCACCGGCUAACUCUGUGCCAGCCGCCGCGGUAA